rnacentral:rRNA from 1 species
CGCGGCCUAUCAGCUUGUUGGUGAGGUAAUGGCUCACCAAGGCAUCGACGGGUAGCUGGUCUGAGAGGACGAUCAGCCACACUGGGACUGAGACACGGCCCAGACUCCUACGGGAGGCAGCAGUAGGGAAUCUUGCGCAAUGGGCGAAAGCCUGACGCAGCAACGCCGCGUGGGGGAUGAAUGCCUUCGGGUUGUAAACCCCUUUCAGCAGGGACGAAAAUGACGGUACCUGCAGAAGAAGCUCCGGCCAACUACGUGCCAGCAGCCGCGGUAAUACGUAGGGAGCGAGCGUUGUCCGGAAUUAUUGGGCGUAAAGAGCUCGUAGGCGGUUCAGUAAGUCGGGUGUGAAAACUCAAGGCUCAACCUUGAGACGCCACUCGAUACUGCUGUGACUUGAGUCCGGUAGAGGAGUGUGGAAUUCCUGGUGUAGCGGUGAAAUGCGCAGAUAUCAGGAGGAACACCAGCGGCGAAGGCGGCACUCUGGGCCGGUACUGACGCUGAGGAGCGAAAGCAUGGGGAGCAAACAGGAUUAGAUACCCUGGUAGUCCAUGCCGUAAACGUUGGGCACUAGGUAUGGGAUCAUAUCAACGGAUUCCGUGCCGUAGCUAACGCAUUAAGUGCCCCGCCUGGGGAGUACGG